GACUUGGUUCACCGGUUAAAACGCAGAGGGAGAUGGAAAUGACCAGGAGUCGAAAGGAGAAGUAACAAUGCCUGGAUUUUAUUCAGAUGCUGUGUACCCAGCCAAAAGACUACAUUUCUCAAUCUCCAUUGUAGCUGGAUGUGGCUGUGUGAUCAAGUUAUGACCAAUGAGAUAUAAGUAGAAGUAGCUUGGCCAGACACAGUGGCUCACACCUGUAAUCCCAGCCCUUUGGGAGGCCAAAGCAGGAGGAUCACUUGCACUCAGGAGUUGGAAACUGCAGACCAGCCUGGAGAACACAGUGACACCUUGUCUCUACACAAAAUGAAAAAGUUAGCAGGGUAUGGUGGCAUGUGCCUGUGGUCCCAGCUACUUCCAGCUACUUGGGAGGCUAAAAUGGAAGGAUCGCUUGAGCCUGGGAGAUUGAGGCCUCAGUGAGCCAUGAUCAUGCCACUGUACUCCAGCCUGGGUGACAAGAGCAAGACCCUGUCUCUCAAAAAAAAAAAAACGCGGCUGGGUGGAACAUCUGGAAAACAUCUUUAAAGAACGCUGACUCAAUCAGGAGGAGCACCAUUUUGUUUCUUGCCCUCUGCCCUUCCUGCCUGAAACAGCUGGGCUCAGUGGCACGCCUAUAAUCUCAGCUACUUGGGAGACUGCGGCCGGAGGAUCACACGAGGUCAAGAGUUUGAGACCAACCUGAGAAACAUAGCAAGACCUCGUCUAAAAAAAUGAAGAAUUUCCUAUGUAAUUCUGGAGUACAUCCAAGUUUGAGAACCACUGUGUGUAGGAAAUGAGGAUCCGUCAAAGGGUCUUGGGAAAAAUAAUAACAUACUUUGGAAAGAGAGGCCGGGCACGAUGCCUCACACCUGAAAUCCCAGCACUUUGGGAGGCCGAGGCGGGUGGAUCACCUGAGGUCAGGAGUUCGAGACCAGCUUGGCCAAUAUGGUGAAACCCCACGUCUACUAAAAAUACAAAAAUUAGCCGGGCUUGGUGGCGUGCACCUGUAAUCCCAGACUUUAGGGAGGCUGAGGCAGGAGAAUCACUUGAACUUGGGAGGCAGAGGUUGCAGUGAGCCGAGAUCAUGCCAUUGCACUCCAGCCUGGGCAGCAGAGCGAGACUCCGUCUCAAAAAAAAAAAGAGAGCCCUUUUUUCCAGUGGCAAAUUGCUUUACAGCAUGUCAAAACAGGAGAUGGAGAGACCUGAUAAACGAGUGUGUGACAGAACAAAUCAGAAAUGGCGAGCACCUGCACUGUAGCAGAGGCAGUGGGGGUGGAGAGGAGGCGAAUGUUCAGAGGCAUUUCUGAGAAAUGUAAUCCACAGGACCAGAUGAGCUGUUUGAUGUGAAAAGGGGCGGAUUUUCAUUUGAAAAGGGUGCCUUCGAGAACUGGAAGUGACAGGUAAGCAGGAAGCGUGGCUGUGUCUACAACAUAUGAAUGUUAGCUCAAGGUGGGAGACCAGGCUGGAGCUUGCCAUGGCAGGAGGCCAACGCUUGGGGCCUGCCUAGCCAAGAGCCAGAGGCUCAGAUCCGGGAACCCUGAGGUUGCAGGCUUGCUGACUACCCUUUGCCUGGGGACACAUCCCCUUUGUUCUACCUGUGGCUCCUUGCCAGUAGUCAUCUCUCAUAGCCCUGUAGUUAGGUUUGGUUUUUUUGUUUGUUUUGUUUGGGGUUUUGAGAUAGGGUCUCACUCUCUCGCCCAGAUUGGAGUGCAGUGUCGUGAUCUCAGCUCACCACAACCUCCACCGCAGGCUCAAGAGAUUCUCCUGCCUCAGCCUCCCGAGUAGCUGGGAUUACAGGUGCACAUACUACCUCCCGGCUAACUUUUGUAUUUUUAGUAGUGACAGGAUUUUAUCAUGUUGGCCAGGCUGGUCUCAAACUCCUUGACCUCAGGCGAUCCACCCGCCUCGGCCUCCCAAAGUGGUGGGAUUACAGGUAUGAGCUACCGUGCCCAGCCCCUGUAGUUAGGUUUUAUCUCUAAUCUAUAUAACUCCCUGAAGCCAGAACUAUGAUUUAUCUGUACGUUCUGAGACCCUAGCCUAGUGCUGACACAUAUUUGAUGCUCACUAAUAAUUUCUAGGUGAAUGAAUUUUAUUAAUUUCCUAGAUAAUUACAGCUACCAUAGCCUAAUUAUAUCUGAAUAGUCCUUUGGCCUCAUUUUUUUGUGAUAGUUAUAUACAUUUGUAUUUCUAUAAUUCUACAUGCUUCCAUUAUUGCUUUCCAAAAUUCACAUUUUUGUGAAGAAGAAGAGAGUAAGCAAAAGACAUUCCUUCCUCCCAGACAUUAAUUACUGCAAGAUGCCUGUGUAAUUAGUGAAACAGGCAUCUCCUACAUGUGUUAAUUUAGAUUCCACCAAAAAGUGCUUGAUUAACAAAAAAAUUUAAAAAUUUUCAAUUGAAUUACUUUAAAACAAGGAAUAAUUUCCAAUUUAGUUAUCCAGACAAGUUGUAUGGAUCCAGACAGAUUAUUUUUAAAUAAGGUGUUAUGGGCCAGGCAUGGUGGCUCACACCUAUAAUCCCAGCACUUCGGGAGACCAAGGUGGGUGGAUCACCUGAGGUCAGGAGUUUGAGGCCAGCCCGGCCAACACGGAGAAACCCUGUCUCUACUAAAAUUACAAAAAAUUAGCUGGGCGUGGUGAUGCGUGCCUGUAAUCCCAGCUACUUGGGAGGCUGAGUCAGGAGAGUCGCUUGAACCCAGGAGGCAGAGGUUGCAGUGAGCUGAGAUUGCACCAUUGCACUCCAGCCUGGGCAACAAGAGCAAAACUCUGUCUCAAAAUAAACAAAUAAAUAAAAAAUAAAGUGUUAUUAUCAUGUCUAAAGUAUCUAUUUGUCUUUUUCACAUAUGAUGCUACAUGGAAUAAAUUAGAGAAGCUUUACUCAAGCCCCAAAGUAGUCACUACCAUGAAUGAUAAGUAAUAUAAGGAAGAAAAUGUAAGACAAGUUUCUUCACUGUGUAUGUGGUUUCAUUCUGUUCGUGGAUUGGAUGAUUCCUCUUUCAUUAACUUUUCCAUUUUCUUUGCCUUUCUUGCAGAUAAGUGCCCUCUGUGUACCAAAAAGGAAUGUACUGUUUAUAGAGACUUCAAAUCAGCAGAAAAUUCAAAUAGUUAUAACUUUUCUUUAUAAUCCAUCAUGAAAAAGAGUAACGACAAGUAAGCAAACUAAUAUCAGCUAUUUCAAUAGUUUCUUUUCCUUUUUUUUCUUUUUGAGACAGAGUCUCGACAGGAUGGAGUGCAGUGGUGCAAUCUCAGCUCACUGCAACCUCCGCUUCCCGGGUUCAAGCGAUUCUCCUGCCUCAGCCUCCUGAAUAGGUGGGACUACAGGUGCAUGCCACCAUGCCCAGCUAAUUUUUGUAUUUUUAGUAGAGAUGGGGUUUCACCAUGUUGACCAAGAUGGUCUCCAUCUCUUGACUCGUGAUCCGCCCACCUCGACCUCCCAAAGUGCUGGGAUUACAGGCGUGAGCCACCGCGCCCGACCUUUUUUUUUUCUUUUUUUAAUAAGUUUUUGUUCUGUCACCCAGACUGGAAUGCAGUGGUGUAGUUGUCGCUCACUGCAGCCUCUAACUCCUGGGCUCAAGGGAUCCUCCUGCCUCAGCCACCCCAAGUGCUGGGAUUACAGGCGUGAGACACUGCACCUGGCCUAAAUACAAUUUCCAAGCAGAUAUGACUGUUAACUUACUUUGUUGAACCAAAAAAAACGUAGCUAAGAUAUUGGCAAAAACUAAGAAAACAUCUUUUUUGGAUUCUCAUGUCUACAUUUCAGCCUAUUAUUUGGAAUGAAUUCCUACAUGUGCAUAAUGAAUUGUACCACUCUAAGCCUAUUGACUCUUUGUUACUUCACUGUGUGUGUUUCCUGGAUAUGGCUGAAUUAUCCUGAAAACCUAUAAUUUCCUGUUUCCCUGAUCUCCAGGAGACUAUUUUAUGCUUCUCUACUAAUAUUUAUGAUGUGUAUAUGUUAGUCUCCUGUAUUGACUCCACUCCUGUUUAUGACCCUCUUCCUGUAUACAAUACCCGUCAUACCUCAUUGACCUUGCCCAUCCCCUAGUUGUGGCUUCUCUGACCUGCCUUCAUCUUUUGCUACCCCAAAUCCCGUAUAACAUACUGUGUGCUAGGCUUAAUGUGCUGGUCAUUUGCCUGCUUGCUCUCAGAUUCAUUAUUUUUGUCCUUCUCUUACUCUGUCUAUGUCACAGGAAGCUGAUUCCUGCCAACUGCAUUUCCUGGGCUCAUUUAACCAUGCCCAGAAGGAAUUAGGACAAUGAAAGAUAAAAAGAUAAAGGAGCCAACAUAUCCUCUCCCCUUUGAUUCAGACGACUUCUCCACCAUCACCUUCUUCACAAUGGCCACUUUUCCUCUGCAGUUGGGGUUCUUCUUCCCCAGCAAUGGCUCCAGGACUCUGUUAACUCAGCUCCUCCCCAGUUCUAGAGGUAGACGGUAGAGGCUUCCUGCUAUUGUUACUCUGGGGUUCCCCUUCUUCUCCAGUUUGGCUUUCCAGCCCUUCCAACUCCUUUGUAACUAGUUCCUGGUAUCAAAUUCACUUAACUGAACUACCUGACUUCGGCCCUGAUGUUUGAGUGGACCCCAUCUCACACACUGAGGUUGACAAUACUUGGCAAGUUGUUAGGCGAAGAGCAAAACAAUAAUCAUAAUCAUAGAAGCAUUCAUGUAGGUAUUGCAAGGCUCACAUCUCCAAAAUGUCCAGUGGAGACAUGAAAUAAUGAAUAUGUUACAUAGUGACAGUCAUUUAAAAUUUUUCAAAAGCCACUUUCAUUUUGUUCUUUUCUUCAUUCUUUAGUAAUCCCCCAUCAAUAGAGAAACUAUGGGGGAAAGGAGCAGAGUAUACAAAGAAUGAUGCCCACAGUGAGCCCAAAAUAGCUCCAAGUGGAUUUGCCUGCACGAAAGAAAGAUGUAAUCAGCACCCAGAGUAGGUAGCGAAACAGUCAACACUGCUGUUCCUCUCAAGACCCCUGCUGCUCUCCCACCAGAAACGUAGUCGCUCUCUGCAUUAAUUUGAUCUUCCCAUGACGUGAAAGCAUCAAUUAUAAGUUGUACGAUAAGUCAAGCUUAUUAUAUGUAAGAGUCCAGGCCAGGCGCAGUGGCUCACGCCUGUAAUCCCAGCACUUUGGGAGGCCAAGGCGGGUGGAUCACAAGGUCAGGACCUCGAGACCAUCCUGGCUAACAUGGUGAAACCCUGUCUCUACUAAACAAAAUACAAAAAAUUAGCCGGGCGUGGUGGCGGGUGCCUGUAGUCCCAGCUACUUGGGAGGCUGAGGCAGGAGAAUGGCGUCAACCCGGGAGGCAGGGCUUGCAGUGAGCUCAGAUCACGCCACUGCACUCCAGCCUGGGCGACAAAGCAAGACUCUGUCUC
rnacentral:lncRNA from 10 species